UGUUUGAUCAGCAUUGAAAAC
rnacentral:piRNA from 1 species